CUAACAAGGAUUCCCCUAGUAACUGCGAGUGAAGCGGGAAAAGCUCAAAUUUAAAAUCUGAUAGUCUUAGGCUGUCCGAGUUGUAAUCUAGAGAAGUGUUAUCCGCGCUGGACCGUGUACAAGUCUCCUGGAAUGGAGCGUCAUAGAGGGUGAGAAUCCCGUCUUUGACACGGACUACCAGGGCUUUGUGAUGCGCUCUCAAAGAGUCGAGUUGUUUGGGAAUGCAGCUCAAAAUGGGUGGUAAAUUCCAUCUAAAGCUAAAUAUUGGCGAGAGACCGAUAGCGAACAAGUACCGUGAGGGAAAGAUGAAAAGAACUUUGGAAAGAGAGUUAAACAGUACGUGAAAUUGCUGAAAGGGAAACGCUUGAAGUCAGUCGCGUUGACCAGGGAUCAACCUUGCUCUUGCUGGGUGUACUUUCUGGUUAACGGGUCAACAUCAAUUUUGAUUGUUGGAAAAAGAUCAAGGGAAUGUAGCAUCUUCGGAUGUGUUAUAGCCUUUGGUUAUAUACAACAAUUGGGAUUGAGGAACUCAGCACGCCGAAAGGUCGGGUUUUUAACCACGUUCGUGCUUAGGAUGUUGGCAUAAUGGCUUUAAUCGACCCGUCUUGAAACACGGACCAAGGAGUCUAACAUGCCUGCGAGUGUUUGGGUGGAAAACCCGAGCGCGUAAUGAAAGUGAAAGUUGAGAUCCCUGUCGCGGGGAGCAUCGACGCCCGGACCAGAAAUUUAUGGACGGUUCCGCGGUAGAGCAUGUAUGUUGGGACCCGAAAGAUGGUGAACUAUGCCUGAAUAGGGUGAAGCCAGAGGAAACUCUGGUGGAGGCUCGUAGCGAUUCUGACGUGCAAAUCGAUCGUCAAAUUUGGGUAUAGGGGCGAAAGACUAAUCGAAC
rnacentral:rRNA from 1 species